UCCCUUGUGAUCCAGUUGUUGGGACUCUGCCCUUCCAUUACAGUGGGCCCAGGUUCAAUUCCUGGUCAGGGAA
rnacentral:tRNA from 1 species